rnacentral:tRNA from 1 species
GCCCCCUUGGCCUAAUGGCUAAGGCGCAAGAGUGCGUACCCACUUAGAUCUUGUCGUUGUAUCUCAUCAAGCUAACAAAGCGUAGCUUCUACUCUCUCGGAAUCUUGAGAUUGCCGGUUCGAGUCCGGCAGGGGGUG